rnacentral:rRNA from 1 species
UACGUAGGGGGCGAGCGUUGUCCGGAUUUAUUGGGCGUAAAGAGCUCGUAGGCGGUUUGGCAAGUCGGGUGUGAAAACUCCGGGCUCAACUCGGAGACGCCACUCGAUACUGCCAUGACUCGAGUCCGGUAGGGGAGUGCGGAAUUCCUGGUGUAGCGGUGAAAUGCGCAGAUAUCGGGAAGAACACCCGUGGCGAAGGCGGCACUCUGGGACGGUACUGACGCUGAGACGCGAAAGCGUGGGGAGCGAACAGG